CAGAGGGGGCAAGCGUUGUUCGGAAUUACUGGGCGUAAAGGGCGCGUAGGCGGCCUUCUAAGUCGAACGUGAAAUCCCCGGGCUCAACCCGGGAACUGCGUCCGAUACUGGAAGGCUUGAAUCCGGGAGAGGGAUGCGGAAUUCCAGGUGUAGCGGUGAAAUGCGUAGAUAUCUGGAGGGACACCGGUGGCGAAGGCGGCAUCCUGGACCGGCAUCGACGCUGAGGCGCGAAAGCCAGGGGAGCAAACGGAAUUAGAUACCCCGGUAGUCCUGGCCCUAAACGAUGAAUGCUUGGUGUGGCGGGUAUCGAUCCCUGCCGUGCCGAAGCUAACGCAUUAAGCAUUCCGCCUGGGGAGUACGGUCGCAAGGCUG
rnacentral:rRNA from 1 species